AGAGAAGUGCCUACGCAAGAGGAAUUCGGAGACAGGUGCUGCAUGGCUGUCGUCAGCUCGUGUCGUGAGAUGUUGGGUUAAGUCCCGCAACGAGCGCAACCCUUGUCUUUAGUUGCCAUCAUUAAGUUGGGCACUCUAAAGAGACUGCCGGUGUCAAACCGGAGGAAGGUGGGGAUGACGUCAAGUCCUCAUGGCCUUUAUGACCAGGGCUACACACGUACUACAAUGGCAGGUACAAAGGGCAGCCACUUAGCGAUAAGGCGCGAAUCCCGUAAAACCUGUCUCAGUCCGGAUUGGAGUCUGCAACUCGACUCCAUGAAGUUGGAAUCGCUAGUAAUCGCAGAUCAGCACGCUGCGGUGAAUACGUUCCCGGGCCUU
rnacentral:rRNA from 1 species